CCUAAGUGCAGUAAUUUAAAUAAAAAUAAUUGCUCAUGACAGUUUCUGACAUGAAAUUGUUUAUGAGAAUGAUUGAGUAGAUUGUGAGGGAAAAAAUUGUUGGAAAAUGGCCAACAGUUUUUCUCUCAGAAUCUGCUCAGUCUACUCCAGGUUGCUAAACUUCCAUCUGGAGAAAGUCCAAUUCCAAAUUUUUCAAGAGAAAUCCAUCCUUCAAUUCUUUUUUGUAUUGAAACCAUCCUUCAAUUCUUCCAUAGAUGCUGGCCAGCUCAUGAUCGUUUCAGAAAUGGUUGCUAAUAUACCAUAUAAGAUUUGGCAACAUAAUUAAUCAAUUAACCAAUUAUAAAAUAUGGAUUGAUUUAAUAACAUAUGAUUUUGUGAAAAAUAUAUUUCGAACUGAUUUUUGAUGCACUUCUAAAUAGGUAAUUUAUUUUAAAAGUUUCAAAGUUUUAAACAAAAAUAAAUUUGUAAUAAAAUUAAGUUU
rnacentral:lncRNA from 1 species